rnacentral:rRNA from 1 species
CGGGAACAAUAUCCGGCUCUAUACAACAUUGUGCGUCACAAGGGUGAUACUAUUGCCACUGUAAUGGAAUCAUUUCCGCCAAAUGUGACGUUCAGAAGAGAUUUAAUUGGACCCAGACUCCAAUCGUGGUACAUCCUGCUUCAACGGUUGUCCACGGUGCAAUUGUCACAUGGGUCUGAUGUAUUUCGACGGAACCUACAUGGGAAUGAAAAAUUCUCAGCGGAGUCUAUGUAUAGAGCAUUAAUCUAG